AAACAAAAAAAAAUUAAAACAUUCAUCAACCUUUUCCGCCUUUCUCCUGUCUCACGUUUGCGUCUCUACCCAGUGCUCUGUUUGCCUCUCUAAACAAAACCCUCACAGAGCCUCUCUAAACAAAACCCUCAAAUCGUUUGCUCUGUUCGCCUCUCUAAACAAAACCCUCAAAUCGUUGAUACCACAUCUGCGGCGCAACCCACAAAACCCUCAGAGCCCGGCGCACCCACAAACACUCAGAGCCCGGCGCACCCACAACCUCAAAUCGGAGGCGCUCCUUCUCAUCCAAUCCACUUGUCGGCGCCGCUCUCUAGCUUAUUCAAAUCAGCGGCGCACUCAUAUCCAAUCCAACUCGACGGUGCUUCAUCUCUUCCUGUACGACUCGGCGGCCCUUCUUCUCUUCCAUUCUAAAUCGGCGGCGCCACCCACAAUCUUCAGAGAGAGAGGUAUUGAAGAUUUUUGGUGAAAUUAAGAGAAAUUACCUGUGAAGAUCAAGGUAAAGAAAUGCGUGAGUGUGGGCUGUGUGGCUGAACAUGUGGAGGAAAACAGAGAAAGAGAAAAAGAACUGAAUGUGUGGAGGAAUGUAGAGAAAGAGAAAAUGAAAAAGAAAGAAGACAAAUGGUAGUCUGGUGAAGAUGAAAAGCAUAAAGGAAAGUCAAAAGUGAAGAUAAGGAGAAGAUAAAGAAUACGUGUGUGGAGGACAAA